UGGGGCUGGCCAACUUCGUCCGCCGGACUCGGAAUUGCGCGAGACUUUCUGAUGGGCCUCCGUGUGCCAAAAAUAGGCCGCGGGCAAGGCCGCACCCAAAAUUAACCGCCCGAAGGCUGGGGCGCCAAGUUCGUCCAGCGGAAAAAGGCCACAAAAACGGAUAGGCUAUAGCCUUGGGGGGUGGGGCAGGCAACCAUCGUCCGCCGGACUCGGAAUGCCACGAGACUUUGCGAGAGGCCUCCAUGUGCCAAAAAUAUGCCACUGGCAAAGCCGUGCCCAAAAAUAACCGCCCGAAGGCCGGGGCGCCAAGUUCGUCCAGCGGAAUAAGGCCACAAAAACGGGUGGGCUAUAGCCUUGGGGGGUGGGGCGGGCCGACUUCAUCCGCC
rnacentral:lncRNA from 1 species